rnacentral:lncRNA from 1 species
GGUGAAGUGGGGCUAAUAAAACUUAACCACCUAGCUUGUGGGAAAAUGAUUCUGUGCUCAGUGAGGAAGUGCUUUCAAGACCAUCUGGCGCCGAGUGGUGGAGUGGUGCUGUCGUAGAAGCUGCGAUGGUGUGUUAAUUCUCUCUCCCUCUUUCUACCCUGGUGAAACUGAGAUCCUUGAGGGUAGGACCUAUGUCUGCCUUAUGUAUCCUGAACCUACCCGAGAUGAGAGAGUCACAGGAAGGGAGAGAAAUUCUACGUUGGCAGCACUGUUCACACGUGAGCAAGCAAAGCCACCACUCCUUGCUGGAGGAAUUCUGGGGGCUGCACAGUGAGGGUGCCCUUCAUCCUGGAGAUGGUCCAGGAAAUACAUCAAGACUCAUCUCCUCAUCCCCACCCGACCCCCGCAGCACUGAGUCCCG